rnacentral:piRNA from 1 species
CUUCAAAAGGAAACUCACCAAUCCCU